rnacentral:rRNA from 5 species
CCUUUCCGUAGGUGAACCUGCGGAAGGAUCAUUA